rnacentral:lncRNA from 1 species
AUGCUGGUCGAUCCUUGCUCACAAGCUUCUUAGCCGGUUCAAUGAGCAAAUCGCCCUUAGGGUUGUAGAAGUAGGCUAGUGAGACGCGCUCUUUUAUGGAAUUCACGAUUACCCGAUGCUCCACGCUCUUGUAAAUUGCAUUGCUUAUCACCUGAUUAAUUGACCAUAAAAAAUAAUUAAUAUCUGAAUUUUGGAAAAUGUGUACAUGGAUGUGGGAGAGAGAGAGAGACGUGUACCUGAAUCUGAUCCCCAAGGUUGACAAUGAGAGCAUCUGGAAUAGGCUCAACAGUGACCCAGUGCUCGCCUUUACGGACUUGGAGGCCAGAAACGUCAUCAUCGGGGAGGAGAAUGGUCAUGCCACCGGGGUCGGAGUGAGGUGAAAUGCCGAGGGUGAGGUCUGGUUGUGGGCACUUGGGGUAGUAAUUCACCCUCAGGCAUGCCCCAACGUCAUCCCCUCCAAAUGCGUUUUGGAGAUGGUCCCCCUCUAGUCCAAGGUUCACCGAUAAAAUCUUCAUUAAAAUUCCACAUAGCUCAACCACAGCUUUGCUGUACUCGUGCACCAGUUCCCUGCAUUCAUUUCCAUCCAUUAACCCUUUUUUUUUUUUUUUUUGCCUUUACUACAUUUUCAAUAUUUAUAUAUUUUUGUUGUCAAAAAAUUCGAAAGAAAAUAUAAAGGAGAAGUAGAAGUAAAAUAAAAAAAAAUAGAUUAAAAAUUGAUAAAUUAUUUUUUUUAUUACUUCAAACUCAUUUUAUUUAUUUUAACUCAUUAAUAUAAAAAUUAAAUAAUUUAAAAAUAUAUAUUAAUUUUUAAUUAGUUUUAAUCAUAUUUUAUUUUUUAGAUAUUUUUCAUAGUACAACCAUGAAAAAAUUAUUUUUCUUUUCAUUUUUUUCUUUCCUUAAUAUUUUUUAGGAACCAAACAUAUUAGUCUCUCAUUCUGAGAGGCUUUUAAACUUUAAUAAAGGUCGAUUUUGACCGUAUUUGGAUGGGUUAGGUAUGACACUUUCCUAUAUAAAAUUUAAGCAUAUUUUUUAAAAGUAAUGAAAAUGUUUUAAUAAAAAUAUUUUUCAAACAUAAAAUUCAAUAGUUAUUGUCCUAGAAAGAUCCUUUUUCUGCCCUUAUCAUCUCUAGAGGUUGCAAGUGGUGAUUAAAGAGAGAGAGAGAAAACUAAAAAAAGAAAAGUCUCAAAACCCUUUCUAUUUAUAUUUUGUGGGCCAAAUUGGAUUACAGAAUACCUAAAACUGAAAAAGGCACUUCUCAAAAUACUUUCUAUUUCUAUUUUGUGGGCCAAAUUAGAUUACACAGUACCCAAAACUUAAAAAAGGUCUUCCCAAUUGGGUUAACCUUCUUAAAUAUGAGGACCUCAAAUUGGUUACUAUUAUCAAAUGUUUAUCUUUUAAAAUAGUACACCAUUCUUACAAUACAUCAAACAAAAAUACACCUUAUUUUCAUUAAAUUAGAAAAUUAAUACUUUUUAAAUUUUUAUUUAUUAGAAAUUUAUUUGGUAAUUUUAGUAGAGAUAUUUUAAAAGACUCAAAAAAAAACACCAUGGUCAUGUUUAAACUGACUUUUUCAUAAAAACUUUUUUUUCAUUUUUUUGAUAAAAAAAAAAAAAAAGAUUUAAUAAUAUGCGUAUAAAUUCCAAAGCAAAAAAGGUCAUUCCGUACAUUUGGUGGAAUGGGUGGGGAAUGGGAGAAGAGUGGACAAGUAGGAUGCUGCUAUAUAUGAGAAGUGGAGCCCAAAGGUGGAGAUAGGAGGAUCUUAAACCACGAAUCACAACUCAUCUGCUUCACCAAGCACCAGGCCUACAUGUUGUAGGCUUGUAUAGCAGACAAACACGAAUACAAAUACCAAAUACAAUGUUUAAAACAAUCAAAAGUAGAUUUAAUUACCUGCAGGAUUCUGGAGUAGUAGGCCACUUGUUCUCAUCCCUUGCAGACUCCGGCAGAUAGUUCAGAAAGAAGUAGUCGCUCCAGUCGAGCUUCGCACCCUUCUCCACCCCGAGACGGCUCCCAUACCCUUCAUAUGUGGCGGGGGAGUUGGCGUACACCUGCUUCGCCUC